UUCGCUUCUCGGCCUUUUUAAGAUCAAUGUAGUAUCUGCUUAUCAGUUUAAUAUCGAUACGUCCCUAUCUGAGGACAAUAAUUAAAUGGUUUUUUGAUCCAGGAGAUGGAAUAGAGCUUUUGUCCACUCCACGCAUCGACCCAAUUGCAGUACUUUUGGGAAUGCAUUUUCC
rnacentral:snRNA from 1 species